rnacentral:lncRNA from 10 species
UCUGCAACAAAAACAGGUGGCCAGCUGGAUUUGACCCAUAGACCACAGUUUGCCAGCUGUUCAGACUGCAUCUUCUGUGUUCAUAUUCUCCACAACUACGUAGAACAUCUUUGAGCUUAAAAACUAUAUCUUAACCCUUUCUGACUCUCCACAGAAUCUAUAUACAGGGAUAGACUCAUAAUUAAGUACUCAACAAAUACUAUUAAUCAACAUUAAUAGUAUUGAUGCUUUUCACCCUCAGAGCCAUAUCUAAGAAGAAAUAAGUCCAUUUCAAAAUGUUUUCUUCACCCUUUUCCCUCUCUAAUGAAAUUCUGUAUCUCUAAAGUACCACAGCAGUUUUUUGGUUCUGAGUGCUGAUAAGCAAUACCCACGUGCUUGGUUAGCUUAAAGGUCAGAUGCUAUCCUGGCCAGAGGCCAAGGAAUACAGCUGGUGAAAAUUCAAGCUGUCACACACUUGUUGCUAGCCUGAAUUUCUAGUUCCUUCAUCAUGAAUUAUUAGAUUGUUUAUCAUAACGAUUUGCUGCAUGAAGAAUCAUUUUUAAAGCCAUAAUCCCCAACCGGGAGAGAUGUCAUGACUCAAUGGGCUAAAUUUAGGACCAUGAGAAUCCUGCUGCAGGACUGGCUGCCAUGCAUCUUCUGUGGGCCUUCAUCUGUUGAUGGAGGGUAAGAAGCACUACCCUCUUCUUAUGGGCUUCAUGAGGCUGGGCUGAUGGUGAAUGACUCUGCACAUUGUAGCAGUGGGAGUUAGAAAAUGGAUAAUGAUGAAGCCCACAGAUUUCACUCCAGAACUGACUUUGCUGCAGAGGAGCGAGGAGAGCUGCCUGGCAACACAACGCAUCGCUGUGCAUAAACUUUGUUUACAGCCAAGGCUGGAGUAAAGGAACAGAUGGCAAGAAAAUCGGAUUUAAAGAAAGGAAGGAUGUGCCUGCAUCUGGGAGCUCGGUAAAUCUCUUGGCUUCUUGCAUACAAGGGUGACGUCUAGCUACCCCAGCAGUCGCGUCCCAGUUUGCUGUUGAUUUUUGCCUGUUUGGAUCUGUCUCUGAGGAUGGUUAAUACAUCUUAUUACAAGCAUUUAUCUCAUCCCUCCCACAGGAAAUGUGUUUUCCCAGGGAUUUGUAUGAUCCCUAACCUUUUAUGGAGAGCAGUUUCUUGAUCAUCCAUGUGAUUGUGUAUCUAAAAUUUCAAGAAUAUUUAAGCUGUUAAUCCUGCUUGUCUGUAGAAGAUGGGUUUAUAUUUCUAUGAUCUUGGAAAUAUUUACAAUGAGUGUGUAUAACAAGGAGAAAUAAGCAUAAACAUUUAUGUGUGCCACAUUCGUAAGCGUGCUUGCACACACACCCACUUCAUGCUUUAUUGUCUCUCUCCGGUGCUUUUCUCUGAAGGCAAAACCAUUUGAAGCAGCUGCCCCUCACAAUAUAUGAAAUAGCUAUUACCAAG